rnacentral:rRNA from 1 species
GUGGGGAAUCUUCCGCAAUGGACGAAAGUCUGACGGAGCGACGCCGCGUGAAGGAUGAAGGCCUAUGGGUUGUAAACUUCUUUUCUCAGAAAAGAAUUAUGACGGUAUCUGAGGAAUAAGCAUCGGCUAACUCUGUGCCAGCAGCCGCGGUAAGACAGAGGAUGCAAGCGUUAUCCGGAAUGAUUGGGCGUAAAGCGUCUGUAGGUUGUUUAAAAAGUAUUCUGUCAAAGAUUAGGGCUUAACCCUAGAUAGGCAGAAUAAACUUUUAAGCUAGAGUUUGGUAGAGGCAGAGGGAAUUCCCGGUGGAGCGGUGAAAUGCGUAGAUAUCGGGAGGAACACCAAAGGCGAAGGCACUCUGCUGGGCCAAUACUAACACUGAGAGACGAAAGCGAGGGGAGCAAAUGGGAUUAGAAACCCGGGUAGUCC